rnacentral:rRNA from 1 species
UACGUAGGGGGGCAAGCGUUGUCCGGAUUUAUUGGGCGUAAAGAGCUCGUAGGCGGUUUGGUAAGUCAGGUGUGAAAUCUCCACGCUCAACGUGGAGGGGCCACCUGAUACUGCCAUGACUGGAGUCCGGUAGAGGAGUGUGGAAUUCCCGGUGUAGCGGUGAAAUGCGCAGAUAUCGGGAGGAACACCCGUAGCGAAGGCGGCACUCUGGGCCGGUACGUGACGCUGAGGAG